GAUGAAGAACGCAGCGAAAUGCGAUAAGUAGUGUGAAUUGCAGAAUUCAGUGAAUCAUCGAAUCUUUGAACGUACAUUGCGCCUUCUAGUAUUCUGGGAGGCAUGCCUGUUUGAGCGUCAUUAAACCUCUCUCAAGUAUGAUUACUUGGAUGUGAAGGAAGAGUACCUUAAACUUAAGGAGUGUUCUCCUUUGAAAUUGAUUAGCAGAUGGUAAUGUUAUUAAAUCCCUGAUGUUGUAAGAAAUAACAGUGGUUUUGUAGACUAUUAUCUAGCUUUAAAUUAUAAUUUUUAUUAUGGUUGACCUCAAAUCAGGUAAGGAUACCCGCUGAACUUAAGCAUAUCAAUAAGCGGAGGA
rnacentral:misc_RNA from 1 species